rnacentral:rRNA from 1 species
GAUGAACGCUGGCGGCGUGCUUAACACAUGCAAGUCGAACGGGAAUUAUUUUAUUGAAACUUCGGUCGAUUUAAUUUAAUUCUAGUGGCGGACGGGUGAGUAACGCGUGGGUAACCUGCCUUAUACAGGGGGAUAACAGUCAGAAAUGGCUGCUAAUACCGCAUAAGCGCACAGAGCUGCAUGGCUCAGUGUGAAAAACUCCGGUGGUAUAAGAUGGACCCGCGUUGGAUUAGCUGGUUGGUGGGGUAACGGCCCACCAAGGCGACGAUCCAUAGCCGGCCUGAGAGGGUGAACGGCGACAUUGGGACUGAGACACGGCCCAGACUCCUACGGGAGGCAGCAGUGGGGAAUAGUGCACAAUGGGGGAAACCCUGAUGCAGCGACGCCGCGUGAAGGAAGAAGUAUCUCGGUAUGUAAACUUCUAUCAGCAGGGAAGAUAGUGACGGUACCUGACUAAGAAGCCCCGGCUAACUACGUG